rnacentral:rRNA from 1 species
CUACGGGGCGCUGCAGUGAGGAAUAUUGCACAAUGGGGGGAACCCUAAUGCAGCAACGCCGCGUGGAGGAUGACGCAUUUCGGUGUGUAAACUCCUUUUAUAUGUCAAGAAAAUGACGGUAGCAUAUGAAUAAGCACCGGCUAACUCCGUGCCAGCAGCCGCGGUAAUACGGAGGGUGCAAGCGUUACUCGGAAUCACUGGGCGUAAAGGACGCGUAGGCGGGUUGGAAAGUCAGGUGUGAAAUCCUACAGCUUAACUGUAGAACUGCACUUGAAACUUCUAAUCUAGAGUAUGGGAGGGGGAGAUGGAAUUAGUGGUGUAGGGGUAAAAUCCAUAGAUAUCACUAGGAAUACCUAAAGCGAAGGCGAUCUCCUGGAACAUUACUGACGCUAAGGCGUGAAAGCGUGGGGAGCAAACAGGAUUAGAUACCCUCGUAGUC